UUGUGGAGGGGGGGGGGGGUUGGGCUUUGCAGAAGUGAUGAGAUUGCAGUGGUGAUAGGACAGUCUGGAAAAGCCCUCACUGGGAAGGUGAGGACUGAACAGAGCCCUGAAACCAUGGCAUUAGAAUUUUUUCCCAUCCUAUCAAACAGCAAGUUGCACCCCAUUAUCCUUUAUAAAAUUUUAUUCUCACCUACAACUCUAUAUUAGUUCCUGGGUUUUUAUAAGAUCAUUACUGGUAUAUCUAUCUAGGGGUAACUUUUGAGAAUGACACCCAAAAUAAUCUAAAUCAUUCUGUUUUCUAAACUGGUUUGGCAAAAUCCAUAUAAACAACAUAGGUUCCUCUUCAUUCUCAGAGUUUAGUUCAUUUUAAAUUUUUUCUUGUGAAAUCUGUAUAUGUCUCAAAAAUACUUGAUAACCGCUUUUCAGUAGAAGUUAUGGCCUUAAACAUGUCUGUAAAGCUGAAAGGAAAUGCCAUUUAUGAUUUAUCAAUGGGAAACAAGCUAUAAAUUUUGAGUUACUCCAGAAACAAAAGGGGUGAAAUUUAUGGCCUAGUGCUAUAUGCUUUAAUUCUUAACUCACGAGCAAAAGUUUCUUGAAAAACACCAAUAUCUAAAUAGUAAAAGAAACUUUUUUCACAAAGGAGGAAACCCUUCCUUCUCCUACCUCGUUUCAAGAUCCACAAAAUUUAAAUUUGUGAUGAAGGGCAAAUAGUAUAAUUGAGUUAAUUUGAUAAGAUAGAGACUUGUAACUUUUUAUUUAUUGGAGCAUCAUCUUACGGUAUUUGCUGUUGAUCGGUUUCUUCCAUCCAGGCAGGCACCUGAGGCAUGAAAUUUUGAAAGAAAAUGUAAACUAUUAGCUUUUCCUCUUUUCUUAAUUUAAAAUACAAUUCUAAGUGAUUUUAAAGACACUUUCCUUCAGAAAUUUUGCAUUUCGUUUCUAUUCUGACUCUGAUGAGUUGUUUUUUUGUUUUUGUUUUUUUUACAUUUUAUUUUGCUUUAGAAAAAACUGAAGGUAGCUGAAUAGGUUUCCCCAACAUGAGAAAAAUGGUCAUGUAAGUUUAGAAGAAAUAUUUGUGUACAUCCUUUGGUCUCGGCCUGAAGAUUAAACAUUAUUUACUGGGCAUGUCUCUUAAACCUACCUCAUUGGAAUUUGGAAGAAUAUUCCAAUAGUAAUGAUAAAUAAGCCUCAAACUUAAUUUGCAGCGAAUUAGCCAUAUUUUUAUUCCACUAGAAAUACCGGAGACUUGGGGCAAGAUUUAGUUAUGCUUUUCUAUUUAAUAAUAUUCCAUUAAAUGUGACCUGUAGAGAUUACGAAGCUUAUCAAAAAUAUAGUCUAUAAAAAUACCCUAAGUAUGACGAUGCUUUUUAUGUAUUAAAACUGAGCUCAAGUAGUCCAAGCAACUGAUACUGGGAUACAUCGUGACCUGUAAGUUAGGAAAAAUAACAGAUGAGAGUCAUGUUUAUGCUUCUCUUUUCAAUUAUAAUCAUGUUUUUGAAAUUACAGAUCUCCUAAUUUUCCAAUCCUUAUCUGUAAGGAAGACCAAUGUAUAUAAGUUUUACGGGUGGAUGUGAAAAUUAGCAAACUAUUUCAUUUUAUUCAAUAUUUUCAUGAAGAUAUCAUUGGCAGGGCAGCUCAACAUUUUACAUGGUUAUCUUCAACAAGGGAACUGUAAGUGUUCUUUAAGUCAUUAAUUAGCUAAUCCUUAUUUACUGCGUAUAGCCAUCACAAUUCAUAUGAAUAAUGCAUGGGCUUCACAGAAUUAUUAGUACUGUACAUCAAAUGAAUGUUUGAAAGGGGAAAUAACUCUUAGUCUUUGGUAAAAGAGUAGGCAUAAAUUAAAUUCCUCGUUUGCCAGACUCAGCAGACACCAUUUCAUGUGUUGAGUUGUCCUUGGAGAAGACUGAGGCCAUUGUUUCCAUUAACAACAACAACAACAAAAAAUCCAAUAAUGUUAAAACAAAAAUACCACUAUAAACAUGAUCAACUGAGGUAAAAUCCCUGCGAGGAGGUACUUGAAAAUCUCAAGCAACUUGAAUCUUCCUCAAGAAAGUUCAACACAGCUCUCUCAGAAAACCUGGAGAUGCAUGUCUAAAAUUCAUAGGAGUUCUGUGAUAAGUCACCUACCUAGAGACCAAAAUAACAGAGCAGAGAGAAAGGAAGCUGAGGUAAGAAAGGGAGGAAAAGGGAAGAAAAGAGCCCUGGGUGGGGAGCUCAUGCUAACUCUUAGUACUGGAGGACUUGUAGGAAAAUACUUGUCUCUUGUGCCCAACACUGUAGUAGACGUUUCCUAUGCCUUCCCACCCUUCAAGGUGUGUGGUUUCAUCCCAAUUUGUGCACAAAAACAAAGUGUUCAAGCUGCCCAGGCCUCACAACUAGUAAGUGGGGAACUGAAUUUGAACCCAGGUUCAAAUUUUUACCAUACUAUGAUACCACCUCUUAACUAAAAUCAAAUUCACAAAGCAAACCAAAAACAAAAGCGUGAACAACCGAUCGUAAUGGAGUCAUGCCUGUAUCCUUUAUUACUGACAGAAGAAAAGCAAAUUUGAGUACAAGGUUUUAAGUCCUGCAAGAUGAACAAAGAAGAGAAAUACUUAACCGCUGUUCGCGCCAUGAAAGAGAAACAACUCAAUCUUGGAAAGUUCUUGGGAGGUAAGAUGGUAAGGUGUUGGCACAUAUGUUUGUAUCAAGACUCAGAAUGAGAGCAAAGUUUGCUGUUUUGGUCUUAGAUCUGUUGAAUGAACUUGUACCUUAUUUUCAACUGAACUUCAAAUACAGUGUUGUUUAAAGCAAUUGGUUCCCGUUAAGCAGUCCAUCUAGCCAUCUAUCAGGUGCAUCUGUAUAUGCCGCAUGCCUGGUAUCUAGUUGGAAUUAUGGUGGUGUGGAAUCAGAACAGGUCAUUUAGAUUUCAGAUUGGGAAACAGAGUUUACGCAGAGGGCAACGCAAGCAGAGUGGCUUGUUGUGGGAACAAACCUGGCCGUUGAGGAAGCUAUAAGAAGAGAAAAGCUAGAACAGGGAGAGGGACAUGGAGAGGUGUGGAAGACAAAACUUGGAGAAGUAGGUGGGGAAGCUUCUGAUUCCUCUCAAGCCCAUUUCUUCUGUGAACAGCAACUAAACCUUUCUGGACCACACACAAAAAAGCAAAUACCUAAGAACUCAGACGGAUUGUGAAGGAGACUCAGAACUUGGAAAAGCAGCCUCUAUGAGGAUGCUUCCCUUCCCUUUUUCUUUUUCUUUCUCUUUUCUCUUACAGGUUUGCGCCAGGGGUCAGCCCCACUUAUGGAGAUGUACAGCAGUGGAGGUUUACUCUGGAUUUUCUAUGCAAGAAAUCCAGCUGCCAGUCCAAAGAGCCAGGAGAAGCCUCUCCUGUUGGCCAAAGAGCAUGGAGUGGGGGGAAUGGGAAAGUCCUUAAGAGGGGAGAGCUGGAAAGGGGGACCCUCUCUCACUGUGUGUAUGACUUUCCACAUGUCCUGGGCUCACUCCUGAACUGGUGUGCACAAGGCAGACCCAAGGAACUCUGGCAAAGUCGACAAGAAACGAAAAUGAGAUCAAAACUACUGUUCGUAGAAAGUAACACAGGAUUUGCAAUCUGAGCCUAAUUGGGUUGAUUGCCUGCUUAAACAAACAAAAUAUUUCUCAGACAAUUUUAGUAAGACCCAGAGUUGACACAGCCCAGUAUCCAAAAUUGCUUAAGUAGGAAGACCAGGAUAAUGUGACCAAUUUCCAAGGAAAAAGUCAAUCAAGAGAUGCCAGCCUCGAGAUAAACCAGAUGUUAGAAUUAUCAGACAUAAAAGCAACUGUUAUAAUUAUGGCCCAUGAGAUGGAAGAUAAACACACUUGAACAGAAAGAUAGAAGUUCUCAGCAGAGAAAUUGUAAAAAAGAAUCACAUGGAAAUUCUAUAGCAAAAGAUACAAUAUCUGAACUUAAAAACGACUAGAUGGGCAAUAGAAAAAUGGAAAUGAAAGAGUCCGCAAAUUUGAAAGUAAAUUAGUAAGUGUGCCUUUAAUGAUGCCUUUAAAGUCUUAAAGGUGGAUGAGGCUUUGAAAAGCAAAAUGUAUCUGACUGUAAUUAGCUACAGGGAGCCCCAAUAAGAUAUUAAUCCAAGUACAUUCUUGUGGCUUCCUGAGAUACAUAUGAAGAAAUUCCUGCUGUUUGUCAAUUGCGUUGAGUAAGGAAUUAGCAUUAUCGUAGGCCCAACUGUAAUGAUUAUGCAAAUUUUCUACUACAGCGUCUUACACAGGCUUACUAUGUAGAAAACAUGUCACGUAUGUUCUGCGACUUACAAUGUCCAAGGUGAUGCAUUGACAAAAGUUUCCCAAUCGGCUCCAUUAAGUUGUGUACCUGCAGUCAAAGCAGUUUUGAAACAUAGGAGUGUCAUCACUAGGUAAUUGCCAAGCUCAUCAUCAGAGUCAGCGCCUGGGAAAUUGAUUGGCUCGCCUGCUCAUGUUAACUCUUUGAUUCAGCUUUUGUAAUAGGACCUCUCCCUAAAUAUAGAUGUUAUUACAGUGAUGCUGUAUGAAAAUUGACCUAUCUUGUAGGCACAAUACAUGCUUUUCAAUUUUAUAACAAAAAAAAAAAAAUGCUGUUAAUACUUAGGAAUCUGUUAUGAGAAAUCAUUAAGGUGAAUUUGGAGUAAGAUUGAACUGGUAUAUUAUGUUUGGAAAAAUGACUUCCUGCUGAAGGAAGAGAAUUUCAAGGCUUUAGAAUACCUCCCAUUGUUACAUUAGCACCAUAUUGCUCUUAAGAGGUAGUGUAAAUUCUUGUAAUGCUGGUGAUAAUUCUGGAUUUAAGAGUUUAACAAGUGUUGCCAUUUAAUUCUUAUAAGAUAGGAAGCACAGUUAUAUCCAUCUUAUGCGUUAGGAAUCGAGGUAUAGAAACGUUCAGUAACCGUUGAGCCUAGAAAAACUAGUAAGUGGCAGAGCCAGGACUGAAGUUCAGGUCAGCCUGAUCGCCAAGCCUAAGCCACUAACCACGUGUUACAUAUGUUACUUCCUAUAGCAACUAAAGGAGAAAUUUCAUGUUUCGUUUUUUUUUUAAAGUUUGUGUGUGAGAGAGAACGAGCAUGAGCAGGGGAGGGGCAGAGAGAGAGGGAGAGAAUCCCAAGCAGGCUCCACACUGUCAGCGCAGAGCCUGAUGCAGGGCUUGAUCCCACGAACCACGAGAUCACGACGUGAGCAGAAACCAAGAGUCGAAUGCUUGACCAACUGAGCCACCCAGGCGCCGCUCACGUUAUUUUAAAAGGGCAUAGCCUUCAAGCCGCAAAGGGUAGAAUAGUAGUCAAAGCAGUGGUUCUCGCGUUUUUUGGUCUCAGGAUUCUUCUUUUUUGGCCGCAAAGAGGGUUUAUUAAAAAUAUGGAAUGCUUCACGAAUUUGCGUGCCAUCCCUGUGCAGGGGCCAUGCUAAUCUUUCUGUAUCGUUCCAAUUUUAGUAUAUGUGUUGCCAAAGCGAGCACAGUCUCAGGAUUCUUUUAAACUCCUGAAAUUUCUUGAGGACCUCAAAGAGCUUUUGUUCAUGUGGGUUAUUUAUACUUACUGAUAUUUUACUCUAUUCGAAAUUAAAUCCGUGACAUUAUUACCUGAGAAAUAUUUAUUAAUUAAAAAUAACAAUAAACUCAGUACGUAUUAACAUAAAUAACAUUUUUUAAUGAAGAUAAUUAUGCUUUCCAAAACAAAACUUUGGUGAUGAGGAUGACUUCUUUAAAAAGAAAAUACAUUUCUUCCCCAAGUAUCUAUUAAUACUUGGCUUAAUAGAAAACAGCUGGAUUUUCACAUAUGCUUCUGCAUUUAAUCAGUUGUGAUAUGUUGUCUUGGUUGUAGUAUAUAAAGAAAAUAGAGCUUCUGUACACAGAUAUGCAGUUAGAAAGGGAGAAGUAUUUUAAGAGCCUUUUCAGAUAGUUGUAGGUAUUCUUACCUGGUAUCAUCAAACUCAAGUUGUAAUUUUUAAAAAGGUUGUUGCAGUGUGGGGUUGGGAAACCUCAUCGAACUUUUUGUGCUCUGUUUAAUUCAAACCUGUUGCUUUUAUCUUGUUCUUUGAAUGGCCUUUUACCCAUGUAUAAUUUUGUAACAUCAUGCAUGGAUUAUUUGGAACAUAUUGGCUCACUGAUUUGUAUAGAUCUUCCAAAUGUGGACACAUUUCAUUGUAAAUGUAAAAAAGAGAAAAGCACAUAUGCUAAUAUCAUCUUGAGCUCAGCAGAAAAGUCUUUAAAUACUGGGAAGCUAUCAAGUUCAUAGUAGCAGAAACAAGUUAUUUAAAAUAUUUAUUUUUACUUGAAAGCUUGAAUUUUAUCACCGAAAAUACACACUGUUAAUUGUUUUUCCAAAAGGGUCUCGGUAUCCCACUGGGGCCAUAGGCCACACUUUGAGGGUCACUGGCGUAAGAGCUUAGAUUGGGGAGAAGCAAGUUAGAAAACAUUUGUCUAAAGGUCCAAACAAAUUAAUUUUCAGGGUGCUGAAGGAACUUGAAGACGAGGUCUCAGAAUCACUAGCAGUGGGGGAAUGGGAGAGAGUUCAGACAUGUAAGAAUGAGAAAAGACUGCCUUGCCUCUCCAGAGGGAUGUAUUCUGGGUAACUCUGAUUCCCAGAAAAAGACUACGGGAUCUUCCGUAGCAGGUAGCUUAACAUUACAAAAUAAUUCUGUGAUUGCCAGGUGUGGUGAAGGCUAGGAGGUCAUCUCAAAUAUCGUUUUUUCUUUCUGAUCAUGUGACACAAUGUGUCACAUGGUAUAUACACUGAGCUAUUUGAAUAACUACAUAAAGACAGUUGAAGAGUAAUUUGUGUGGGUACUGCUUAUACAAAAUGGCAUAUGUUGCUUUUGAUCAGAAAAUCAAACAUAAAUUAUACGUAAUAUAAUUUCUCAUAAAAGAAAAUUUAUAGAAUACCUACCAUAUGCAAAAUGUGGUGUUGGGAAAAUGGCAGCUCUGAGGGGCACAUAUGAGGAAGUAGCAUGGCAUUAUGGGAAGAUCAUAGCAUUAGGAGUCGGGACACUUGAAAAUGUGUUCAUCCUGGUUUUCCACCAACUCAAUGGCUGCCCUUGGGCAAGUGACUUCGAUUCUAGACCUACGCUUGAUAUCUGUCAUAUUAAAGAAGUUAAGGCCUCUGAAAGGGAUGGAGUUGUGCUCUCCUAUGCCAUGGAGCAUAACCAGAGUUGACAAAUGGGAUUUGGGAGAUGCCAGUUUGCCUCACGGUGGAUAACCUCCUAUCUCCGUGAGGUCCAUUACUGAAGCCACUAGCCUCAUAUGGCUAUUGAGCACUCAAACUAGGACUAGUCUAAAUUGCGAUUUGCUCUCAGUGUAAGUUACACACCAGAUUUUGAAGACUUCAUAUGAAAAAUAGAAUGUAAAAUAUCCCAUCAGUAAUUUUCAUAUUAAUUUCAUGUUGCAAAAGAUAAGUUUUGGAUGCAUUGGGCUAUGUUAAAGUAUUAUUAAAUUAAUUUCAUCGGUAUUUUUAAAAAAUACCUGGCUACUAGAGAGCUUAAAAUUACAUUAGAUGGCUCACCUUAUAUUUCUUUUAGACAGUGCUGUUCUAGCUAACAGAGUUUCCAACAAAAGAACAGUAACUUGAAGAAGAACAUAAAUUUACUUUUAAUUUUACUUUUUGAGGUUUGCAAGCAGAACCCGAGUCACAGUUUUGAGAAGACAGCCUCACAGAAGACUGCGUGUGCUAUGCAGCUGGGCUAUACUGGGUUCUCCAUCUGCACUUGGAUCUUCAAAGAUCAUCGUUUGGAUGACCAUGCAGGCGCAGAGAACUGAGACAGUGAUGUUAGGAAGCUGGUGAAAACGCUCCCUGUUUAUUUCUGCCUGCUUGUCUGUGACCAGUGUUUCACAAAAGGAGUGAGAAAUUAGUAACCACAUGCUGGGUAAGAUGUUCACGAGAAGGUCAGGAAGCUUGUUUGUCAACCUUAAUUGACAACUGAUGUUUAAAAGGCGAAGCAUCAUUCUCGUAAUUUAAUGGGAGAAAUUGCUAUUUAAUGCCAGAGGGGGAAGAGCUACCAUAUGCAAAAGCCUGUGGAAAUGAGACAUACGGACAAAAUAAUCCCCUUUUUGUUUUAGGAAAACGUAAAGUGGUGCCCCAGGGAUUGUUGGCAAAUAUUAUCAUCUUUGAAAGCUACUACUUAACACAAAUUCCGGGAAACCGGAGGCUUCUGGGUAAUGUGAAUCACAAGGAAAGAAUGCCCCGUUUUGUGGCUGAAACUUUUUAAUGGAAUACUGGUUGAUCUUAGCGAAGAAGGCCAGGGGUCAGGGUCAGUUUGGGAGAAUUUUCUGCCUGUUUCUGUAGAGGCCCCUACAUAAAACACUUCUUUCUCGGCCUGAUUGAAAUGUUUCAUGUGAUCACCUACCCGUGGGAGCCACUCACAUCUCCAGAGAUAUGCUUCCUCCUUUUUCCCUAUGUUGCCUAACUUGAGAUAGAGCUUAAUAGGGCUCUACUCAUUCUUUAAAUGAAAAUUUCUUAAGCACUGGUUGCCUCCAUGCCUCCUGUCUUUGAUGAUCUUGAUUUAGAGAUGGUGUAUCUGAGACAGGAUCCCCUUAGCCAAACAGAAUCCCUCUACAUUUUAAACUGGAGGGCAUUUACUACAGGGAAUUGGUUACCUGAUGAGGGGGAAACCGAGAUGCCAAAGUGGGUGGUAAGGCCACCCAGGAGUUAUGGUAAGAGCAGGCAACUGCUUCGGCCCCAGGGCUGCAGAGGGCCGGGGGGAGUUGGUGGUGGGGGGGUUGUUGUGGGGUGUCCAGGAGCAUCACAGAAAGCUGAGAGGAGGGGAGAGAUAUCCUGACUCCUUUGGGUUUCUAGCUUUCUAAUCUUUCACUGGUGUCUUCACAGGCCAAACCCAUCCAGAACUGAAGGAAAGGGAGGAAGAAGUUCCUUGUAAUACAGAGUACAGCACUAGGACAGAGAUGGGUAAGCCAGGACUGUACUGUGAUGUAGUCUGUCCGUGCUAAGUCCUACGAGAGCAGGUUGCACGGUCCUCUGUGCGCUGAGAUGCCUUCAGAAGAAGCUAUUAUUUGAGCUGCUUCAUAAUGAAUAGUUCUAUGGUAGGAAAAGGCAGGGUGGGGGUAGGGGAGGAAGGGUGCUUUGAAAGAGAGGGGAAAAGACUUGGAGGGCUCAAAGCUUAUGUUGGAGUUGAGGAAUCACAAACAGCUCUUUGGGGAUAGAGCAUCAGUGGAUGGCGGGUGUGCAGGGGAUGAAGCUGGAAAGAGUUGGGGACCUCCUAGCACUUAGGACGAGGAGCUGGCCUCGGCUAGGACGCUAGGAUGGGGACAGUGUCAUUGAAAGUUCCCUCAGAGGUCUGCACCAGCGUGAAAAUGUGGUAUAAUGGGGAGACUGAAGACAGGGAGGUCAAUUAGAAGGAGGAGAGAGUGGGGAGAAGGGCAGGACUCCCCAGGGAGGAGCACGCAGUGAGGAGGGGAACCUAGUGACCUCAAGAAUGUUGAAUGGAUAGGAUUUGGAGAAUUUUUUAAUGUUUAUUUUUGAGAGAGAGAGAGAGAGAGAGAGAGAGCGAGCAGGGGAGGGGCAGAGAGAGAGGGAGACACAGGAUCCAAAGCAGGCUCCAUCCAGGCUCCGAGCUGUCAGCACAGAGCCCGAACUGUGGCUUGAACUCACGAACUGUGACAUCAUGGCCCAAGCCCAAGUCAGACGGUGCUUAACUGACUGAGCACAGCCAGGCGCCCCUAGGAUUUGGCGAUUUUAAUGUACAUCAUGAGGGGAGAUGCAGAAAUCCCCAUUGGAUGGCCAUGGUGCCAUUUACCCAACAGGAGGAGGGAGCUUUUUAUUGACCUCUCUGAUAUUUUCCAUGUAGAGUUUUAUUUUUGGCUGCUAGUGGAGUUUGAAAUGGAGAAAGCUAAAGCUGUCUAUCUGGUUGAUGUGCCAUUACUGAUAGGAAGAGAGUAGAUAGGACACACCUACCGCUCUCCCCAUUAGCUGCCUCAUUUCCUGUGGGAGAGACACGUAUGCCAGCACGGAAUAGCAAGACAAAGUGAUAGUCACGGAAGAGGUCAGUGCCAGCUGCUAAGGAGCUGAAGGGGGAGCCAGCUUCCAGCUCUGCCUGGGUGCAAGUGGAGGUGGGGUAUUCAUGAGGGCUUCCAAGAGGAAGCGACUCUUGACCUGACUCUUGAAGGGUGCGUGGGAGUUCUGUAGGUGGAAGGGUGAGAAGAUAAAGUGUGUAGAGACAUGACCUGUGAGAGAACACGGUCCCAUCUUGUUGAACAUAAGUGUGAGAAGGACAGAAUGAUGUGAAAUGAUGCCAAGACGGAGACGAGAGGUAGAGCGGUGACAAUGUUUACCCUAAAAUUGACGGGGAGACCUUGGUAAAUCUUGAGGAGAUCCUUUUUAGAUACCACUCUCUUGCUCGCUCAACAAAUAUCAUCUGAGUUCCGUGAUGGACCACUCUGGUGGCAGAGUGAAGGAUGAAUACAUAAGAGAUAUUUCACAGGGAACCAGCUGUUUUCCAAAACGUGCUGCUUCUGGCUCCAGACACAACUAGACCACAUUUCUGUCUCUCUUGCCAUUAGGUGUGGCUGCGUGUCCUUAUUCCAGUCUAAGCAAUGUGUGCAGAAGCGAAUCGUGCUUCGUUUUGGUGAGAUGGGGCCUUUGGGACCUACCCUGUGCUGGGCCUUAUGCUUUUCCUCUUCCUGGCCGACUGGGUUGAGACCUUGGAAACCAAGUCAGGAAGAUGCUGGAGCUGCCAUCAACACAGGCCUCCCUACUGUCUGGAAACAUACCCUGGACCAUAUGCGCCCCAGAAAUAAACAUUUCUUAAUGUGAGCCCUUGUGUAUAUGAAUCUAUCAGCACAGCUCAGCUACCCUAAUCAUAAUCUUAGUGACAUAAGAGGUUGGUGUAAGUAAAUGAAAGUUUCAGCUGGGGCCAUAGAAGUGAGGAUCGAGAAGCAGGAGGAGAGGGAGUAAAUGGCUGUUUAGAAGACAGAAAAAACAGGUGCUGGAAAGUGGUUGGCUUCGUGGGUGAGAGCGGUCCAGCAUGACUCCUGAUUCCUGCCUUGGGUGACUGGUCACAUGAUGGUAACAUUCCAUGACGGAACCAGAAGAGGAGCAGGAUGUUUGGUGUUAGGGGUAUGGAUCUGACUUAGUGAAGGUCUGGGAUUCAGACAUUUGGGAGACGGUAAACUUAUUAUGAAGGUAUGAAAUGAUUCAUUUAAGCAUAGAGGUAGAGUGUAGAGAACAGAAUAGAUAAUGGACUUCGAUGAAGCAUCUAUCUAUCUAUC